GUUGCUGUAUCAUUUUAAAACUGUCAUUUGUUAAUGUGCUGUUGUUACUAUUGCAGGCUUUGAAAAGUAUGAAGCACUGCCAGACCCGAUUGUGUUACAGCUUACACACACCUGGAACUAAAAGAAAAGAGGAAGAGAAAUGAAAAACAGCCCAGAAGAGUUUUUGAGGGACAUACUCUGCUUCUCCUCAUUUUUUGGGCAGGAGUGCUUCCUGGAGCUGUGAAGCUUGUCGUACACAUUCACAUACAAUCCCAGACAAACAGCUUUUGGAACUGA
rnacentral:lncRNA from 1 species